rnacentral:rRNA from 1 species
UGGGGAAUCUUGGACAAUGGGGGCAACCCUGAUCCAGCCAUGCCGCGUGAGUGAUGAAGGCCUUAGGGUCGUAAAGCUCUUUCGCCUGUGAAGAUAAUGACGGUAGCAGGUAAAGAAACCCCGGCUAACUCCGUGCCAGCAGCCGCGGUAAUACGGAGGGGGUUAGCGUUGUUCGGAAUUACUGGGCGUAAAGCGCACGUAGGCGGACCAGAAAGUUGGGGGUGAAAUCCCGGGGGCUCAACUCCGGAACUGCCUCCAAAACUAUUGGUCUAGAGUUCGAGAGAGGUGAGUGGAAUUCCAAGUGUAGAGGUGAAAUUCGUAGAUAUUUGGAGGAACACCAGUGGCGAAGGCGGCUCACUGGCUCGAUACUGACGCUGAGGUGCGAAAGUGUGGGGAGCAAACAGGAUUAGAUACCCUGGUAGUCCACACCGUAAACGAUGAAUGCCAGUCGUCGGGUAGCAUGCUAUUCGGUGACACACCUAACGGAUUAAGCAUUCCGCCU